rnacentral:tRNA from 1 species
AAAGGCGAAGCCCUAUGGUAGGGUCCUCGAUUCCAAACCGGGAGAAGUGUACGACGUACGCGUACAUUUACGGGUUCGAAUCCCGUCGCCUUUU